GCAAAGUUUUAUCCUGGCUUAUUCUUUCAUUUUUAGGUUAAAGGUACAUGUAAGAUCUAUCGGGCCAAUAAGUGUUUAAAUAGUUUAAAUAAUGUUGAAUGUUUAUAAAAUAGAGGGGUCAUUAAAAGUUAAAGUCUCAGUACCUAGUGCUAAUUAAAUAAAUGUAAGUUGGAAUUGGUAAUCCUAAUCUUGUGCGUCUGGCUAAAAUUUGUGCCAGCAGCCGCGGUUAUACUGAGAGACGGAUUGAAAGAAAAUCGGUUAAAAAUAGUUAAAUAUUUAACUUAGAUAAAUUUAUAAGUCCAUACUGAUAAAAGGUGAAAUUAAUUUUUUAGUAUGUGGGGGGAUAAAAAAUGAAGUUUAAAUUGAAGCUAUUAAGAUAGAGGAAUGAACCAGGAUUAGAUACCCUGUUACACUUUAUUUAAAUGAUAAUUACCUGGGUACUAAGCAGUUAUUAUCUUGAAACUCAAAGGAUUUGGCGGUAACCUAGUCUAUUUAGAGGAACCUGUCCUGUAAUCGAUAGUCCACGCAAUAUCUUGCUUUACCUUGUAGAAAACAGUUUGUAUACCGUCAUUAUUAGAUAACUUUAAAAAAUCAUAGAGUUAUUGUAAUAGUUUAGCUAGUAAAUUAGAUCAAGGUGCAGCUUAUGGUAGAGUAGAGAUGGGUUACAAUAUAAUAGGCAUACACGGAGUAAUAAAUGAAUAUUUAUUAUGAAGGUGGAUUUAAGAGUAAGAAGAUUUUAAUAAGAUCUUUUGACUUUAGCUCUAGGUUAUGUACACAUCGCCCGUCGCUCUCGUUAAUUAAAGCGAGAUAAGUCGUAACAUAGUAGGUGUACUGGAAAGUGUACCUAGAAAUU
rnacentral:ncRNA from 1 species